rnacentral:snRNA from 1 species
AGAGAAUCACUUGAACCCAGGAGGCGGAGGUUGCAGUGAGCUGAGAUCAUGCCAUUGCACUACAGCCUGGGUGACAGAG